UCGACCACUGUUCGUUCGUUUCGUUGGUAUUACGUUUUGGAUGAUCGUCGCCUGUUCCGAACGAAUCGAUUAUUCCCUCCCGAAAUCGUGCGAAUUGAAAAGCGGAACGCACUCUCGACGCAACGUCGCGACUCGAGAAAUGGAAGAGUUCGUAACGAAAAGACGACACGUAGCGCCACCUACCGGUUCGAUUCUGUAAUUACCCGAUGGCGUUUCAGGACGGUGUAUUUCCUUCAAUGUUUCCGCUACGAGAGAGCGCAUUCGCGCAUAGAACAAGAAGCAAUCGAAAUAUCUCGUUUCCUCCGUUGGCCCCGAGGAAAAUUCAACGAGAUUGAAAUAAUUAAUUACUCGCCUCGCAGCGCAAUGUAUAGAUAAAGCAAGUACAUAAAGAGAUUGGCGCGGCGGCGAUUGUUCAACGAGGGAAACGAAUCUUUCAAGAAAGAAAGAAGGAAGGAAAGGACGUUCGUGUAUCGUCGUGGGAGCAUUUUAGCAAGGAGGGGAAGCGCGCUAUUUCGAGGAAUCGAGUUAGUUAGGAGGAGCGGCACGUCGAGGGAUUUAUCUUGGAUGGAGUGUGUGGACGGUUUAAGAGGAUGGAGGAGCGGAUUCGCCUCCUUUUGGCUGGACGUUCGCGGAUUCGCUUCAUUCACCGGAUGAGCUUCAAUCACACGUGGAUAGUGGUGAUGGCGGUGGUGGUGGUGGGUCAAGCCGAGGUGAACCGAGGCGAAUCGUCCUCGUCCGGAGGAAACCUCGCACGCUUACCAAACUUGCCAUACCUUCCCUCUUGUUAGCUCUCUCUCUCUACAACCAGUGGCCGGAAGCGAAAGAGAUAUCUCGCCAACCGCGAAUACUUCCAAUUCUCCUCGACCAAGAUAAAUCUGUCUCCUCUCGCGUGGGACUAAACCCACGAUUUAUUCCCGCGACUUUAGUUUCACCGAUGGAUUCAUACAGGUCACGGCCAGGUGUCGAAGAAGGCCGGUGAAGCUUGCAGACGAAUCGAUCGAGCAACGAUCCAUAAACGAUUUGCGAACGGGAUAUAUUCGAAACCGGGAGGAAAUAUAAGCGUUGAAACGGAUAUUAUUGCGUCGACAAGGGCAAGAAAAGGGGUGCCAACGAAUGGCCCAACGAGAUGCCCGCAAUUCGGGUAAUGCGCCGUUGUAACGAGCUUGCGGCUAGCCUCGAUUCCGCCGCCAAUAAAUAAAGAUCAAAGUAACCUCUUCUUUCCCCGCCACUCUCAAUCGAUCGAUAAAAUCGCAAUUCCCUUCGAAUUUACACUUUGGAAACAAUAUCACUUACCGAUAAACGGGCAGACUCGCGAGCAUGUGAAAAUUUUGUUUCGAUCGCAAAAGUGUAUCACUAUUUUCGUACACAAGUACGAGAGCGAGAAUUGAGAGAAUCGAAAAUGUACGAAUUUAAUCUCCCUCGUGGAGGGAACGAUCUCUACCUCUCGUCCUAAUUAUCUCGAAUAAACUUGAACUCGAAUCAGAGAGACAUAGACGGGUUAAAUCGCGACGAAUAACCCUUCCCCUCCCCGGGAAAGUAUCUUGGCAAACCUCGAGGAGUCUCCCUCGAAACGGUUGAAUCAGCCUUGUGUGAAAAUUUAAACAGCCCUUCCGUCACAUUUGUCGAAAUACUUAUGGCGCGAGCGUAACUUUGUUUGCUCAAAAUUUAUCGCGCGAAACGAACGAAUCCCCCCGCUUUCCAUCGCCACAAGAAUAGACGUUAUUAUUUCACGUAUCGAGGAAAUGCCACGAAUAUCAAGAUAAACUAGCUCCCCCUAGCGCGCGUGUUUUAUCUCGAAGAAUAACGGCUUCUCUCUUUCCCUCUCUCUCGUCCCCAUAAGUUGCACACGUAACUACGCGUAAACCGCGUGUGAACCGUGUUUCAAGGUUUUUCGUCGCGGCAGACGAGAGCCGUAUAAAAAUAAGUUGCGCGUGUAACGCGUUUACGAAUUCGAGACGUGAGUGAAUUUCCAACUUUAUUAUUUUUGACGAAGCGGCGAUGAUAAUUGGAGGCGAUAACCGAGAGAAAAGGAGAGAUCGGAGGAAAUGGCGAUCGAUGGGAGACGCGACGGAUGUGGCUCGUGUCCGCGGGAUAUUGUGUCAAAGCGAAACGUCGUGUGGGGCGUUAACGUCAUAUCAAAAGCCUUAUUGAUCUUAAUUAAGUGGUCUCUAUACUUAAUGGUCGAAUAUCGAUCGGUUUAGCUACGCCCCUCGCCUGUGAUGGGUCAACGAUCCCUUCUCGCGAAUCGCGAAUGAUCGAUGGCGAACGUCAUCGGGGACCGACCACCAUCCGGUGAUUUAUCGGUUUCGAUCGGCGCCUGUAAUACGUUGUCGUCCUUCCACCGAGCGCACUGUCUUCGGCUUCAUCCAUUUCUCUCGCGAGGCUCUUAUACAGGGUGUUUAUGAAAAUGUGGCACAGCUUUGGAGACUGGAUCCUAGACGUCAAAAAGAUGAAAAAAGUUCAUAUACGCGUUUGUUCGAUAAGAUUUAAUUAAUGGGUUAUUAUAAGCAUUUAAACUUUGUAUUAGAUAGAGUGAGAACGCUAAGCUGGCAGUACCGUAGUGUAAUUAAGUGGAACCCCUCACUGAAAGUAAAUAUAUUGAUUUUCGGUAAAUAAACAGAUUGAGUAUCCUACGACAAUUCAACUAUAGAUUUAAAUAAUAUGUUUGUAUCGUGGAUUUAAGUAAAGUGAUGUAUAUGUUAAUAUUCUGGAAUUUGCUAAAACUUAUUCGAGAUAAAUGGUAAAUAAUAUGUAUAUUAUGUUAUAUUAAAAUGUAUUUGAAAUAAUCAAUUGUAUAUAAAAAAAUAUAUUUACUUUUAUCAAGGGGCUCCGAUACGAUAUUGGCACGCACCCAGCUGAGCUUUAUUUAAUAAGUUAAUAUAAAGUUAAAAUAUAUAACUCAUUAAUAAAGCCUUAUCGAACAUGAGUAUAUGAACUUUUUUUAUCCUUUCGAUGUUUAGAAUCUAACCUCCUAAGGUGUUUCACAUUUUUAUAAACGUCUUUUAUAUAUAUAUUAGACGAUUCGAAGGAUCGAUUGGAUUUUGGAUUCACUGUUCGAAAAGUAAUUUCAUUUUUUUUCACGACAAUAAAACACUAAGUCAUUUCAUGCGAUUACGAACAAUCGAAUUCGACGAGUUCGAUUUCGUAGCAAUUUCUCGAGUCGUUGUUCGUUGGUUGCUUCGAUUGGCCUUUAUUUUAUCUUCAUGUGAUGAACAAAAUUUCAAAAACCACUGGCAUCUUGACACUGGCGUACCGUUGAUACACUUUUCUAUACACUUCGCGUUACUUUUUUCUUACCUGAACGGCAUUCCUAACCUUUUCGGUAAUAAAAAAGUAAAACACACCGAAAAUAUUCCUCUUAGUCUCGCAUCUUCGUUAUCGCACACGAGAAACACAACCGCACAACAAAAUCGAACGAAUUUUUUUUAUAAUCUAAAUAUAAUAAAUCAUGAAAUGCCAACUCUCAAAAUAUAUAACAACACGGUUUAGAACGAAGUUGGUUGUAAAUAAACGUUCGACACGUAGCGACGCUUGUAUAAAAAAACGAAAUUACUUUCCAAACCACCUAAUAUCAUAUAUCUAGCAUAUAUUUAGCGUUUUAUCAUUAUCGAGAUUUAUUGGACAGUAUUAAUUUCGGCAAAUUAAUACGCGGAGAAUAGGCGGGAGAAUAAAAUCGGGAAAAACGUAGCGUAGAAUAAAUUUGGGAUUCGGAUGUGGGAAUGGUUGACGCAGCGACGAGUGAAGCGAAGUUUGCGCCGAUCGGAGCGUUUUCGCUAUGUCUAAUACAAACUUAAAAUAACUGGUUAAAUAAACCUUAUUGGUCGUACACAUACACGAACUUUUUUUAUCCUUUUGAUGUGUAGAAUCCAAAGGUGUCCCACAUUUUUAUAAAUGUAUACUCUGUAUAUUUACGAAUUCUGUCCUUUGCUCCUCCUCACUUUUUCGCAAUACUUGGCGUUUUUGAAUUACGAUGAGAAAUGUGCUUUGAUCGGCCAUGCAAAUUCCCUUCCAGGCGAAAAUCCUGAAGAAAAGUCGAGAGAAAAAUUGAGAAAGGUGGGAAGCUGAUCAUCGCCGAGUCGUCGUUUCUGUUUAAACUGUCACUAAAAAUCGGCAUUUCUCUACCCGUUUCUCCAUUUUCCAUGUAACGAGCAAUAACUUUUCUUCGUACCGAUAUCCAUCCGUGUGCGCGCCUCCACAGAUGAAAUAUUAUUACGAUCCAAUUUGCAUAUCUACCGGCUACCUACGCUCGCGCGAAACGCGCAAUCAAGAAUCUAAUCAAAAUCUCACGAGCAAAAAAUAUUCUUCGUCAGACAGAGAAACUAUAUAAUAUAUAUAUAUAUAUAUGUAUACUUUUUCUUUUUCUUUUUUCUUUUUACACUUUUUUAACUAAAUCACGAUCGCUCGGAUGUUGGUGGAAAUUAAACGAAGAGAAGGGAAAAAUUGAACGGAAAAAGAUACGGGAAAUUCCAGGUUUACGAGGUCGAGCAAGCAACGGUGAUACAUAGUUAUUUUCGAGAGUAGCGUAAGUCCCGGAUAUCGUUAUCACGGUUCGUCUCCUUAUCUUUCUAAGCUCGGGGAAGUUAAAAAAAAAAGAAAGAAAGAAAGAAAGAAAAAGAAACGCGAUAGAAUCUGAAAUUUCCUCUCCACCUUUUUUUUCCCUUACGAUAUCGCGCCAUAUGUUACGUGCCGAGCCAUUUUUAUCCUUGGCCGAUAUCGAUCAUCGCUUGAUCAUCUUUCUCUCGUUUUUUUUUUUUUUUUUUGCUUUUUUGCCCUCUCUCUUUUUCUCAUCGAUUUCCCUUCUCCUCCCUUUCAUUUAUAUAUAUUUCACGGACAGAAACGAGCGCGGGUUGGAAGCGAUUGCCGCGAUAUUAUCGAGUCGAGUGGAAAUAGAAUCUUUGUUCUUUUUUUUUCUUUCCACGAUUUCCCGGACGACGGUCCAACGACGACUAUUACAGCUAGGAUUAAUUAAAAUCGAUGCGCUCGAGAUCGAAGGAGGGUGAAAACGCGGUUGGGUCACCGUUGACCCAACUCCUCCGGACCGAGUCCAUUCGCGCUUUAUCAGUGUCAAUGGAUUUAACGCUAAUUUCAUUCGCGUUACGGGCGUCGUUUCUAUUUGCAAUUCAAACAGGCCACCGAUUCUCCGCCCCUCGUUACGACGACAAUAUGCGCAUAAUCUAUUUUAUAUCGCGCGAUGAUAAUUUAUAACGCGAUCGAUAUCGAUCAGUGAAGUCGAAACGAUGAUUGUGUCUAUGAUGUUCCAUUAGGUACGCGCAAACAAGUUCCUUCCCCCUCUUUUUCCACGAUCUAACUUGCGACCGAAUUCGAAUUAGUUCGUGGCGCCAUCUGAAACAGCGUUCUUUCGUUUUUAAUACGUCGACUGCCGCGCAUUCGAGUGACCUUUAUUCGAUUAUUUACGAACGAUCUUCGUAGAUAUUUGAAAAGAUAUUCGACAGGUAAUAAAAUUAUUGAAUUGUUAUGAAAGUGAUACAAAAAUGGUUUAGUAAAAAAAUUAUUUAGAACGUAAAACUUUAAAACAUUCUAUACAAACUGAAGUUAAUCGGGACAAAAAGUUAUUCGCUGUAUAUCUGCUAUAUGAUUCACUAGGACGUAACUCUUCCACUUUUCUUUACGACACUGGAACGAAUUAGAAAUUUUAACAGUUAUACCACUCGUUGCUUGGUAAAGAUUCGAAGAGUGGCGUGUUCAUACAGAGUGACGAGAUGACAAGUGAGGACCUCUGGAAUGUAACGAUGGAAACAAAUGAUGCGGGAGAUUAUUCUUACGACGACCAGCGACUCACAUUAUUAAAAUAUCGAUGGAAGAACCUAGCAUUUGGUACAACGGCACGCGUGGCCCGAAGGAGAUUUCGUUGAAAUCACGCACGACAGUCAACGCGUUAAGAAGAGUCGCGACUACUGUAACAGUUUCCAGUCCUGUGCAACGAUUUCAAACGAUACGGCGCGCGAGAAGGUUAGGAAAUUGGCUGUCAAAACUACCGAAACGGUUUGCGUGUCACUGGCAGAGAACGCUGUAUCUUACGGAACAUGUGAAAAGGAGUGGAAAAAUAAGAGAAAAAAUUUAUUCACACCUAAUAUGUAUAUUACGUGUAAUGAUAAUUCACCAAUCUCCAUUCGCUGAAUUAUAUUUUCCACGUGAGUCUAGCGUAUCUUCUCGAAGUCGAUCGACAAAUCAAACUAAAAGGUAAUAAUUCACAUUCGAUUCUUUAAGCCUCUUUCCUUACGUUGCGGAUUCCAGUUUCAGACAGAUAUAAAAUAUUUUCGAAUACUUCGACAGAAUGAAUAAAUAUGAGUUGGAAGAAAAGAGAGAUUAAACGAGGAAACGAAACUCUGUUACCUUUCAAUUUGCAUCCACGAAGGAAGGGAGAAGCUGCGACUCGACCUUCGAUUUAUCGAACAGGCUAAUUAAGAUCGCGAAUGCGAUGCUCGAGUUUCCGCUCCCAGAGCAGACGGGCAGGCGCAAUAGGUAAUUACGGAUGGAUCCGAAACAGUGGUUAAUUAACGAGGCUUCUUCGAUGCCGGACACGUUCGCGCCCCUCCCCCGAUACUUCCACGUACAUUUCACGAAUUCCGGAAACAUAGCGUUCUCCUAAACCCCGCAAAAUCAGCGAAAUUUCUUCUUACCAUCUCCCUUUGCCGUCGCCAAAUCGUGAAUUCGAUUCUUCUUCGUCUUUUCGCCGCUUCUCUCCCCUCUCCCCUUCCGGUUUCUAGUUUUCGCGAAUCCGUUAGACCAUCCGUUUCGUCGCUAAUUACCGCGUCAAUUAGACGGAACGACAUCCUCGAGGAUGGCAGCCAGGUGUGUUUAAAGUACGCAAUUUUGUCGGGUAGCCGAGGCGAGGCGAGACGAGGAGGGGGGAGAAAUGGCGCGAUGAAAUACCGAGAGAUGCGGCUCUCGAGAGUCGACGGGGCAAAGAGGAGCUAGCGGAGACCUCUGAGGGGGCUCGUUAUCCGUGUGUACGAGGCUCAGACAAACAGCCUCAUUUGUCACGCGCUGACCUCCCUACCGACCUUCCUCUUCCUCCUCCUCCUCCUUGCCUCUUUUACACCACUUCUUACCUUGUCUACGCCGGUUGUUUGCAAUUUUUCCCCCUCAUCGAAUCGAGUAAAUAUAUU